UACGUAGGGUGCGAGCGUUGUCCGGAAUUAUUGGGCGUAAAGAGCUCGUAGGCGGUGUGUCACGUCGUUCGUGAAAACCUGCAGCUUAACUGUGGGCGUGCGGUCGAUACGGGCAUCACUGGAGUUCGGCAGGGGAGACUGGAAUUCCUGGUGUAGCGGUGAAAUGCGCAGAUAUCAUGAGGAAGACCAGUGGCGAAGGCGGGUCUCUGGACAGUUCCUGACACUGAGGCACGAAGGCCAGGGGAGCAAACGGG
rnacentral:rRNA from 1 species